GCUGAUUUGGAAAGUGGAGAAGAUAAUGAUUCCUGUAAUCAACUCACUGUAAAUAGCAGCACCACAUUUAAACACGUGCUGUAACAUUUAGUCCCUGUGAGAGUUAAUGACUCUUAAUGAUAGUGUGUGUUUGUGAUGGUUGGUUUUCGUACAGCGCCCUUUGCUGAUCUGUCAUAGUGUGGGAGCUGGCAGCACAGUACUAGACAGACCAUACAGUACUAGACAGACCAGACAGACCACACAGUACCAGGCAGACUAGACAGACCAGACAGACCAUACAGUACCAGGCAGACUAGACAGACCAGACAGACCAGACAGUACCAGGCAGACCAGACAGUACUAGACAGACCAGACAGACCAGACAGUACCAGGCAGACUAGACAGACCAGACAGACCAGACAGUACCAGACAGACCAUACAGUACUAGACAGACCAGACAGACCAGACAGUACCAGACAGACUAGACAGGCCAGAGAGACUAGACAGACCAGACAGACCAUACAGUACCAGGCAGACUAGACAGUACUAGACAGACUAGACAGACCAGACAGACCAGACAGUACCAGACAGACUAGACAGACCAGACAGACCAGACAGUACCAGACAGACUAGACAGACCAGACAGACUAGACAGACCAGACAGACCAGACAGUACCAGACAGACUAGACAGGCCAGAGAGACGAGACAGACCAGACAGACCAUACAGUACCAGGCAGACUAGACAGUACUAGACAGACUAGACAGACCAGACAGACCAGACAGUACCAGACAGACUAGACAGACCAGACAGCCUAGACAGACCAGACAGUACCAGACAGACCAGACAGUACUAGACAGACCAUACAGUACUAGACAGACCAGACAGACUAGACAGACCAGACAGUACUAGACAGACCAUACAGUACCAGACAGACCAGACAGUACCAGACAGUACCAGACAGACCAGACAGUACCAGACAGUACUAGGCAGACCAGACAGUACCAGACAGUACUAGACAGACCAGACAGACCAGACAGUACCAGACAGUACUAGACAGUACCAGACAGACCAGACAGACCAGACAGACCAGACAGUACUAGACAGUACCAGACAGUACUAGACAGAACAGACAGUACCAGACAGUACCAGACAGUACUAGACAGAACAGACAGUACCAGACAGUACUAGACAGAACAGACAGUACCAGACAGA
ensembl:lncRNA